rnacentral:rRNA from 1 species
UACGGGGGGAGCAAGCGUUGUUCGGAUUUACUGGGCGUAAAGGGCGCGUAGGCGGCCUCUGCAAGUCGACUGUGAAAUCUCCGGGCUUAACCCGGAAAGGUCAGCCGAUACUGCAGGGCUAGAGUGCAGAAGGGGCAACUGGAAUUCUCGGUGUAGCGGUGAAAUGCGUAGAUAUCGAGAGGAACACCUGCGGCGAAGGCGGGUUGUUGGGCUGACACUGACGCUGAGGCGCGAAAGCUAGGGGAGCGAACGGG